UUUCCGUAGGUGAACCUGCGGAAGGAUCAUUACUGAGUGAUGGCCCUCUGGGUCCUACCUCCCACCCGUGUUUAUUGUACCUUGUUGCUUCCGUGCGCCCGCCCCACGGCCGCCGGGUGGCAUCUGCCCCCUGGCCCCGGCUCGCCGAAGACACCCUUCUGCUCUGUCUGAAGUUGGCAGUCUGAGCGAAAACUAAAUAAGUUAAAACUUUCAACAACGGAUCUCUUGGUUCCG
rnacentral:misc_RNA from 1 species